rnacentral:rRNA from 1 species
GCGCCGGCCAACUACGUGCCAGCAGCCGCGGUAAGACGUAGGGCGCGAGCGUUGUCCGGAUUUAUUGGGCGUAAAGAGCUCGUAGGCGGCUUGUUGCGUCGGCUGUGAAAUCCCGUGGCUUAACUGCGGGCUUGCAGCUGAUACGGGCGGGCUAGAGUUCGGUAGGGGAGACUGGAAUUCCUGGUGUAGCGGUGAAAUGCGCAGAUAUCAGGAGGAACACCGGUGGCGAAGGCGGGUCUCUGGGCCGAUACUGACGCUGAGGAGCGAAAGCGUGGGGAGCGAACAGGAUUAGAUACCCUGGUAGUCCACGCUGUAAACGUUGGGCGCUAGGUGUGGGGGGCCUCUCCGGUUCCCUGUGCCGCAGCUAACGCAUUAAGCGCCCCGCCUGGGGAGUACGGCCGCA